rnacentral:tRNA from 6 species
GCCCCGGUGGUGAAAUUGGUAGACACACCGGACUUAAAAUCCGUUGGCCGCAAGGCCGUGCCGGUUCGAUUCCGGCCCGGGGCA